UCUCGGUUUCCCUUGCACCUUUCUUUGAUUUCCGAGGGUUCUUGUCUUUGGAACCUUUUGGGUCUACCAUGUUUCUUACGUGUUGUAGCCUCUGUAGCAACUUGAUUGUGUUCCUUGUGAACAUCAAUACGUACUGGUGCAUUACAAGCUGGUAUGUACGAUUUUGUUACUCUUUUUGGGUCAUUAUAGGAAUCUUGGCAACUGUUUUAGCUAGCUUUUGCAGAUAUAUAGUCUUUUGGAUCUCUGAUGGAGUCCGAGGAUCUUGCCAUGUGAAGGAUGUUUGAUUCCAUAUAAGUUCUUUGACCAGCUUGUUAGUCUCUCCACCCAGUGUUGGGAAAACGGAUUCAUUGAGAUGACAAUCCUUGUAUCUGGCCUUUGGCUCGAGAUACUUAAUGAUGGUGGGAGAAUCAUUUUUAACGUAUAUUCCCAUCCCCUUUUGAGGUCCCAUCAUUUGCUCUCUGUGGUGGUGCUAUGGGUAAAUAGGUGACACACCCAAAUGUCUUUAGAUGGGAAACGUCUGGCUCAUGACCCGUUAGCAAUUGGGAUGGGGAAUAUCUAUGCUCACUAGAUGGCCGAAUGCGUAUUAGUUCAGCAGCGUCUAAAACUGCAUGUCCCCAAGCUGAGACCGGAAGCUGCGACCUCAUGAGUAAUGGUCGAGCAAUUAGUUGAAUUCGUUUAAUGGGGGAUUCAGCUAAUCCGUUCUGUGUAUGGACAUGUGCCACAGGAUGUUCCACACUUACCCCCAUGGCCAUACAAUAGUCAUUAAAUGUUUGGGAAGUGAAUUCACCAGCAUUAUCUAAACGUAUGGUCUUAAGAGGAAAAUCUGGAAAAUAGGCUCGUAAUCUGAUGAUUUGGGCCAAUAACCUAACAAACGCUUGGUUCCUAGAAGACAAACAUGCGACCAGCGGGUCGAUGCAUCGAUUAAAACCAUGAAGUACCAAAAUGUUCUACAAGGUGGAUGGAUCGGACCACAUAUGUCUCCUUGAAUUCGUUCCAGAAAAUGUAAGGUCUCUUUAGACACUUUGACUGGUGAAGGUCGAGUGAUAAGCUUCCCUUGUGAACAGGCUAUGCAUGUGUGGUGCUUAGGGAAAACUCGGUUUUCUUUAAGGGUGUGCCCUUUAGAACUUUGAAUUAAUUUACGCAUCAUAUUCGAACCGGGCUGGCCAAGCCGGUCAUGCCAUUAGUGAAUUUCUCAGUAAACCCUUUUGUUUACUUUAUUAGCCUUUAUCAUAUUGACCUUGGCAUAGUAAAGAUAUAUGACGCGGGUAUAGUCUGUAAGACCUUCUCAUGGUCUUGGAUGCUCUUAGUAAUAUAUGGGAAUCAUUUGUUCCCUUCACCCUUAGUUUCAAUGUGGAAACUAUUCAAACACAUUUCUUUGAAACUCAACAAGCCCCUUUGAGCUGGGUGAAUAUGAAGCAUCUGAGGAUGCGUGCCCUUGGGAAUAUGGGCCUGCCAUGGGCCUACCCUUAGCCUUCACUAAAUUUAGCUAUACCCGCAAUUUGGCUAAUGAACCAUGUCUUUAGAUAUUUCGUUUAUUGAAUUCUCAUAAUCAUCUAUCUCAUGGUCGAAAUCUUCUUCACCAUCGUGAUGAACUAAAUGAGCUUCUUGAUUCUUUUCAAACUCUCUUGAUAGAGAUCAACGAGAUGCUUAGGUGUCAUGCACGUCUUAGUCCAAUGGUUUCCCCAUUCCUCAUCAGUGGCAAACAAGUUUAUUUGAGUGUUGUGGUUUGGGUAUACCGUGGCCUACCUCGAUUACGACCAAAGUCGGGUCGGUGGCCUUAACCAUAUGAAUGGUUUCCUUGAUCAUAUAAAUUAUAAUUUCCACUUCUACCACGUCCAUUCCAUUUACCAUGAUUGUGGCCAUGAUACUUAUCUCUUUGGACGUGGUUAGACUCUUUAGUCUCUUUAGGCUCUUUAGGCUCUUUAGGCUCUUCAGCCCAACGGGCUUCUGAUAAUGGGGUAGGACCAGGAGGUCUCAUUUCACUAUUCAUAACUCAUUGUUUUGCUCAGCAAGUAGCAAAACAAGAGUUUAGACUUGCAUAUGUGGUAAAAACCUUUUUUUUUUUUUCACGAUAUUGUUGCUGAGGCAAUAUAUUGUUUGUAUGAAAGGUCGAGAAUGCUUUCUUUAGCAAGUCAUUCUCAGUAAUUUCCUCACCACGGAAUCUCAGUAUUGACACUAUUUUAAAUAGUGCUGAGUUAUACUCAUUCAUGGAUUUGAAUUCUUGGAAUCUGAGAUUCUUUCGAUCGAAUCGGGCUUUUGGGUAAUAGCACCGUUUUUUUCUUUCAACUAUGUCCAGAGGUCCAGAGGAUUCUUAAUAGUGAGGUACUGAUUUUGAGACUCUCAUUGAGGUGAUGGCGUAUGUUAGUAAUCGCCUUAUAUCUUUCUCUUCUGGUGACAUUGUUUCCUUCCAUAAUAGAUUCACCAAGCCCUUUUUCCUUUAGGAAAAUCUUAGUGUCCAAAGCCCAUUUUAAAUAAUUGUCACCAGAGGCAUUGAGUGCCGUGUAUUCAUAAUAGUUGAUUUCUGAUAUCUAUAAUAUAUAGAGUUAAAUGAGAACUCAUGUAAUCGGUUAGACCAAGUUAUGCGGUAUUUGAGACCGAGCCAUGCUUGUCUUCAACAAGUGUUUUCUAAACAAUCAUGUUAUAUAUAUAUAUGGAUGAAAUCAACCCUAGAAGAUUGAUCUAGUAUGCAACAACCAAACAAUCGGAUCAUACUAGAUUAGGAUAUUAGGAUUUCGCGGUUAAGUUUUAGGGUUUUAGCAUCCGCGAUUUAUAGUACUAGGGUUUUUGCUAGGAUUUUGGUUUUAUGUAUGGAACUUUCUAUUUAUGGAAACUUUCCUUAUAUGGAACUUUCCUUUUAUGGAAAAUUUCUAUUUCUCAUCUAGAAAGAAAUCCUAAACAAUUAUGUACUUUAGGGUUUUGGAAUAUUUCCUUAUGAAGGGGUUUCCUAUUUUGGUAACUUUCCAUUUUGGGAAACUUGCUAUUUUAGGAAACUUUUUAUUUUGGGAAACUUGCUAUUUUACGAAACUUUCUAUUUCUGUAAACUUUCUUUAUAUGGAACUUUCUAUUUCUGGAAACUUUCCAUUUAUAGGAAGCUUGAUCUUAAACCGUGACUUAGGGUUUAUUAAACCGGUUUAACCUAGGAUUUAGGGUUUCGGUUUACUUUCGGUUUAACCUAGGGUUUAUAUUAAAACAUUCAAUCUAUCAUGCCAUUAAACAUCUUUCCAUUCACUAACUUCUCAAUUAAUUCUCCAAUCAUAAAUCAAAUCACAUGUGCCAAUUUUCAUGCAAAUUUUAUCUUAUCAAACUUUAAUUGGAUCAUGUAUAUAAAGCAUAAUAAAUAAAUAGCACUUAUCUUAAUUGGAGAACUGAAACAGAGACCCGAGAUCUGAUACGGAGAUUGGAAACAGUUACGUCUCUUAGCUGGUUGGGACCUCCUACAAAAUCUCAAUAUAUAUAAUCCUGAUUCCUGAGAAACUCAAAAUUUUGCUCAUAGAAACAUGGCUAUUACAUUAGUAAAAAGAAAAAAAAAUAGGGUUUCUGUAAUAUACUGCAUAAAACAGUUCAGAAUCAAUAACAUAUAAUCCGUGCAUAAAUCGUACAAAAAUAUAGACAGGAUUGAUAAUAAAUAAUCCGUGCAAAAUUUGUGCAAAUCUACAGACAGAAUUGACAACAGAUAAUCUGUGCAAAAUUCGUGCAGAAAUACAGAUAAAAUUGAUAACAUAUAAUCCGUGCAAAAUUCGUGCAAAACUACAGACAGAAUUGACAAUAGAUAAUCUGUGCAAAAUUCGUGCAGAAAUACAGACAAAAUUGAUAACAUAUAAUCCGUGCAAAAUUCGUGCAAAACUACAGACAGAAUAGAUAACAGAUCAUCUGUGCAAAGUUCGUGCAGAAAUACAGACAUGAUUAAUAACAGAUAAUCCGUGCAAAAUUCGUGCAGAAACAAAUAUGAACAGAAAACUUAUCUCGAUAGAGUUUAAAAUUUUGUUUGCAGAGACAGCUAGGGUUUUGGUUUUGGUUUUUGUGAGAGAGAUUUAGGGUUUCGGGAUUUUUUAAUUUUUAGGGUAAGAGGCUAUCGUGCUGAUAACGUGUUGUGAACUGUGUCUUUCAUUAAUAGUAUAAGGGAUAUAUAUACGAGGAUAAUAGCAGGAUACAGAGAAUAAGGUAAAACCCUAAUGGGCCAUGGGCCGGUUAUGGAGUCCAUCCAUAUGGUUUAUAACAAUUAUCAAUUUAUCAUUACUAAUAAAAUGCUUUUAUAGCCGUCUAUUUCAAUCCUCCGUUAUCAUUACUACCAUUACAUCACCCAAGUUAAUUAAGCUAGCAAAUCAAACUAGUAAAACUAAAAGGGUCGUUGACGAAAAGUUAUUUGCUGGUUAAUGCAUACUACACACGGCUAAGGCAACAUUAAGAGGUGUUUUUUUUUUUUAAUGUAGUAUAUAUAGUGAAAAUAUUUGGUUAGCGGGUUGAUUUAACCGGAUAUAGGGUUCAUAUAUGCAAUUGAAAGUACAAUUGUGAAAAAAGAUAAAUAAAAAAGGAAAGAUGGUUUUUUGAUACACAAGCUAAUUAAGUGCAUCGAGAGGAGAGCUAUUGAAAAUGAAUGUUUUGUUUGUUUUUGUACGGUGGAGAGAAGAAUGAAAAGAUGAUCAGGUAAAGAAUGAAACUUGGAAAUCAUGCAAAGCCACACCUCUCCCUUCAACACAUUCUUACGUGUCCUCUUCUCUUCACUCCAUAUCUCCUUUUUAUUACAAAAAUAAAAAUCUUUCAAACCAAUUAUAUUUAUAUGUAUGUUCUCUUAGACUUAUCUCUUAUACCCCUUUUGUAUGCUCUUAGCCUUUGCUCUUUAGUUUUAGAUCAUAUCAAUCGACAUGGCGAAUGUUGACCGUGAUCGGCGUGUGCAUGUAGACCGUACUGACAAACGUGUUCAUCUUCAGCCAUCCUACGAAGAUGAUGUUGGUUUUGGUGGUUAUGGUGCUGGUUCUGAUUUUAAGAGUCGCGGCCCCUCCACUAACCAAGUAUUUUUGUGUUCUCUUUAGUUUUUAAGUCUUAAUUAGGAUUCCUUUAAAAUAUGCAACAAUAAUCUAACUGCUGUUUCCAAAAUAAAUAAAGUUUGAAAUCAGAGUUUUAUACGCCACUUGCAUAUGUUUAUCAUGGUGAUGCAUGCAUGCAUGGAUCAUAUCUAGAGAUUUAUGGUUGGAUUUUUAACAUUUUGAUAUGUUGAUAUUAAUUUUUAAAAGGUCUAAACAAUAAACAACACUUAUUUAAUAAACUCGAUAUAAUCAAUAUAUACAUGCAGAUCUUGGCACUUAUAGCAGGAGUUCCCAUUGGUGGCACACUGCUAACUCUAGCUGGGCUCACUCUAGCCGGCUCGGUGAUCGGCUUGCUAGUCUCCAUACCCCUCUUCCUCCUCUUCAGUCCGGUCAUUGUCCCGGCGGCUCUCACAAUCGGGCUUGCUGUGACGGGAAUCUUGGCUUCUGGGUUGUUUGGGCUGACGGGUCUGAGCUCGGUCUCGUGGGUCCUUAACUACCUCCGUGGGACAAGUGAUACAGUGCCAGAGCAAUUGGACUAUGCUAAGCGGCGUAUGGCUGAUGCGGUAGGCUAUGCUGGUAUGAAGGGAAAAGAGAUGGGCCAGUAUGUGCAAGAUAAGGCUCAUGAGGCCCGUGAGACUGAGUUCACAACUGAGACCCAUGAGCCGGGUAAGGCCAGGAGGCUCAUAAGCUAAUUAUAAAUUUCUCGAGUCUGUUGGAAAGGCGAUCAUGUUAUUUUACUUUUAUGUCCCAGUUUCUUUCCUCUUUAAUUUUAAGAAUAUCUUUGUCAAUAUGUGUACGUUCGUUUUGUCUUGUUCAAAUAAAAAUCGUUGUUAAUGAAAUAAGAAGUGAAAUAAAUAUAUUUUAUUUUCUAAGAUAACCACAAAUUUCUUACCAUUUUCUUUUGUAACGAGUUUUCUUGUAUUAAAUUUAGAAGAAUAUACAAACUAAAGAAUCAAACUUUAAUCAAAGUAGUUGGCUACAAUUAGUUGAAAACCACCCCUGAAUGACGAAAGGACCCCAUUUGGAUAAUAAGCCGAGAAGAGAAAAUGUCUUGUUCGAGGCCUCUCGACGUGAGAGUUAAGCCACUUAGGCAUCAGCCAUGUUUGUUUGAUGUUAUGUUCCCAAAGGUUACUCGAUCUGUUUUGUGGGAUUUCUUGUUCAACAUAAACAACUAGGUCGUUUGUAGAAUGCUUGUGAUUGCUGUUUUGUGCCAAACGAGGGAAGCCCACAUGACAUAGGAUCGUGAAUGCCUAUAAGGUAAAGACGAAAGAUAUUUUUAUUUCGUACCGCUUAUUUACAAAAACCGCAUUUGUUCCGCAUACCGCACGUACCGCAGUUGAACCGUACCGCACUGUCAUACCGCUUUCUUCGCACAACAACAACCGCGGUUACCAUUCGGAAGUCUCUAUAAAGAAAGAUAUUCCUCUCAAAUUUUACUAGUUGCGUUAGAAAAAUAUGAAAUAAAUUAUUCAUCUCACACCACUUUAGUUAGAUGGACAAAUAAGAGAAAUAUAGGAACAUAAAUUUCCACUAAAAAGAGAGGAUCGGAACAGUAAAAAAAAAUAUUAUUUUGAAGGACAGCCAUUACAUCCUUACAGAAUUUUUGAAGCAAGAUGAUGAAAGUAAGAAGGUGAAGUUUCUUGUCGACUUUGCCGAAAGAACAACCAUCUAUCCUGGUAAAUAAAAUGUUUAAUAAUCGCCAGACUGUCUUAAAAUUACAGUGGACUUUGUGCCCAAACCUAAAUAUAUAUCAACUUUGGUAUAUGUUAAGACAGAAAUUCAAAAAAAUGAUUUUUUUCUAUAUAGAUAUUUUUAAAAUUAAAGGCUUUUUUUUUUUUUUGGAUCAAACAGGCUUUUUUUUUUUUUUUUAAAUCUAUUUAUUAUCUAAUAGCAAAUUAAAGAAAAAAAAAAUCCAGUGCUUUUGCAUUGUCAGGUACUUGGGCCUGAUCAUCGCAUACAAGAGAAUGCAGGGUCGGUUCGGUUUCUCUAGCUUAACUUGGAUCUUCGUCAGUUUAAAUUAAGCCUAGGCUUUCGGUUAACCGUUCGGUUAUCAGUUGGGUCCAUUCAGUUUCGGUUAUUUUGGUUUCAAAAUUUAUUAUCCAUUCGGAUAUUUUAAAAUUUUGGUUCGGUUCUAGUUCUUUUGGUUUUAAAAUUUAGUAUUCAUUCGGUUAUUUUACUUAAGAUAUUUUCGGAUAUUUCGGUUAUUUUUGAGUAUUUUCGGAUAUUUUUGGAUAAAUUUCAGUUAUUUUCGAGUAUUCUAACUAUUUUUACAUAUUUUACAAGUAUUUUGAUUAUUUGGUCUAUAAAUAACUAAUUAUUUUGAAAAUAUAAUUGUAUUUCGGAUAUUUCGGUUCGGUAUCGAUUCGAUUACGGUUAUUUCGGUUAUUAAAUUUACCAUCCAUUCGGUUAUUUUCAAAUUUUCGGUUCGGUUUUUUUGCUUCGGUUUCGGUUCGGUACAUUCGGUUCGGUUUAUUUGCCAGGCCUAGUUUAAAUACCAGCUUAUUGGGCCAAAUCGAGACGGCCCAUUAUCUAGCACCGGCUUAUCGGACUUCCUCUACCCGGCGCUGUAAAUUCCAAAUCCCUCCGUUCACGUCUCCAAACUAGCCGUUGCCUUCUCUCUCCGGUCAAAGCGAUGGCCUCAUACGCUACGUUACUGGAGAAAACUCGCGUUGCUCAACCUUCUAUACAAAGAUUCGCAGUAAUUUCCGUCUUCUCCAAGUUACGAUCUGCUCCAGAACAAUUAGGAUCAGAAUCUGAAGCCGGAAGAGAAGCUAUCUCCUUCUGUCUCACUUCUGAAUCUGUCACUGUAGUUGAUCAAUCCGUUCGUGAGCUAUGUCGAUUAGUAUCAGACUCUGUCUUAGACCUCUCUCGUGGUUUGUUAGAACUUCAAUCAGCUCUCGAAGGAUGCGAUUCGAAAUUGGUUUCGCUGUUUGUGAAAGGGUUAGGGUUUUUGAUUCGUAUUGGUUAUGAACGGAAUUCUGGGAAUUGGAAGUUUAAUUCGACGGAGAAUCAUCCGUUUGUUAGGGUAUGUGAUACAUUGAUGCGUUUCGUUGUUCUAUAGGAAUUGUUGGAAUUUAGCUAGUCUUUGAUGUUUCUUGUUGUUGUUGUUGGUUUCAGAUUCUUUCUAGCCGAGCGGAGACACAGACGGAGCUUCUUCAUCAAGUAUCACUCUUUGUGAUGCAUAAUCGGAGAUUGGGAAUGGUGGGAGUAUGUGAAUUCUUGGAGCCGUUUUUGAAUUUCACAAUACUGCGGAUUCCACUUGCAGAUUCGUCGUCAUCGUUGUUUGCAAGGGAGUUGAUUUCAUCAAUGGCUUCCCUUUGUUGUUCAUCCCGCAAAGAAGCACUUCCGAUAUUCAGGUUGCUAUUGCGUUGCCUAAAAUAUAUCCCGGGAAAAAAUCUGGAAGUAAGUUUACAUGAUUAGCAGUGAUUUUGGUGAAUGCAAGUAAUGGGAUGCAAUAUUAGUAUACAGUUCUAAAUUUCUGAAACUGUUCAGGACAAUAGAAAUUUCAGCUGCAUUGUCAAGACUCUAGUGGAUGCAUACACUGUGGUUGUGAGAGACUUGGUUGGAACUGGAUUGGUAUGUGCUAAUUUCAUCAUGCAUUCAUCUUAAACUUUGUGCUCAUUGUCCGAUAUCCAUUUAAUUAUCUAUACUAGCAGGAAGUAACAGAAGUUCAUCUGCUCGGCGUGCAACUGGUAGAUGGUGUACUUUUUCUUUGCGCUUCUCCUCAUGUACAAACAACCGAACAAGAGUCUGUUAUCGAAUCUUCGAAGCAUUUGUUGGCUGUUCAGAAAGACCUUGGAUUACCAUAUUCACGUGAUUUAUCCUUGGUGGUUCUCUCGCUAGUUUUCAUGCUUGCCAAAUCCAGUGUCGAGCAUGAACAACUCUCUAUUCUAAAGUUCCUGCUUUUUCUGCUCAAAUGGAAAACUGAAAGUGGUAUAUUUGUGUCUCCAUCUUUCUAUUCAUUACCCUCUUGCUCGUUUCGUUGUCUAAUAGUGUAGUAUCUUGUUUACUUCCUUCCACUUGGAGUGUCCUGCUAUGACUCAAAAUGUGAUGUGUGUAUUUUCUGUUGACUGAGAAUUGAUUCUUUGCAAUCGUUUUGUAGAAAACUUGUCGGUUAAAGAUGCGGCCGGUUCAAGUGUGGAGUCUCUAUUAUUGUUCCCUACCAUUGCACUGAUGUCUUCUCCUUCUAAAUCAAUCAAAGUAGCAGCAAGUAAGGUUCUUUCCAUCGUAGAAAAUGUCUUGGUAACAGUGUCAAAUGCACCAAAGAUUGAGGUCCACAAAAGUAAAGGAGAUUCACCACUCAGCAGGGUGGGCUCUGUCGUAUUUAGGGUCAUGCAGCAACUCUGGCAUCAGGUUUAUUUCCUGUGGAGAAACCUGCUAUUUUCUUUUGGCAUCUGUCUAUAAUGAGUUACAUAGAUCUACUCAUGGGUUAGGUUAUUUAAAAUAAUUAUUCCUCUGAGGGUUGGUUGGAGAUAAACAUGUUUAUUUUAAUUUAUGUCCAUUAACUCCAUAUCAAAGUAUUACACAAAAGAAACUCGGAAUCAAAUUGCUCACUGACUCUUUGAAUGUUCUUUUUCCAGAAUGAUUACGCACCUUCCACGCCCUCCUUCCUCAGAGUGGCUUACAUCAAUGGAAGUGAAAAACAGGAAACUUAUCCAGGACCAGUGACUUGGAAUUCACUACUUAGGGAACAUGCUGAACGGUUUUGGGAUAGAAAAAAGUUGUCUGCGUCGUUUUGUCUUUCACAAGAGAUACCUAUUUUACUUGGUGCUGUUGCUGGUGUCAUGGUGAUGCACCCGUCCCUAGGAGCUGAUGCUGUUAGUUCUUUGACUAUUAUUGGUGGCAUCGAUCCUAAGAUGUGUGUCCCGCUGUUGCUAGCUGUUCUAUAUUACAGCAACUUGUUAUCUCGAACUAACGUCCCUUGUCAGAGUCUAUUGGUGAGACUACUCUCAUUCAUUAUAUGUAUCUUCAAAUCCAAGUGCUUGUCUCUUCUAUUUCUUUUUCCCUUAGUCUAGUUCCCAUUAUAUUUCUUUGAUGUGCAGUCAAAACUUCUGGGGUUGCUCCCAUCACUAGCUGCACAACAGGUGAUGAUUCCACUUGUAGUUCAGACUAUUACUCCAAUGCUACACAAGGAUGCGAAAGGGUCAGUACACCUUUUUCUGAUCAUUGCUUGUGUACUGUAUUUUUUUAAUCGUGUUUAUAAUAGUUGAUUCUGGGUUGAAACCCUUACCGGGUGCUUGCAAAAAUCAAUUUUCACCUUUGCUAUGUGGUAAACGAGUAGUCUUUGCAAACCCCUAUAAGUGGUUCCAUUAACUUUUCAGAUGCUGGGCUUAUGAUAUAUGAUAAAAGGUUGAUUUGGAAGCCAAAAAAUUAGUAUGUGAUGUUUCAUGCUUUAAACUACAUUUACCAAUCUUGUUGAAUUGGGUUUCUGUGCUCUACCUUGUUUCCAUUUCUGUACUGCCAUAAAAUGGAGUUGACAUGAGUAGCUCUGAUGAUGGUUUAUUUUAGUCUGUUGUAUGCUACAGCAAUUAGAUUACUUUGCCAGACCUGGGUAGUCAAUGACCGUGCCUUUUCAAGUUUGCAAGUAAGCUAUUCUUAUCACUGAAAUUUUGUUCGACAUUGAUAUUGUCAGCUUGCUCAUGCUUAUUUUUUAAUAUUCAGGAGGUGUUACGCCCAAAAGGAUUUAUAGACUAUAUUUCAGAGAGACAUAUCUGCAUUAGUAUGGCUGCUUCCAUUCACGAUGUAUGCAAGAGACACCCUGAUAGGGGGGUAGACCUAAUCUUGUCCGUUCAGGUAUAGUUUCUCAAGUAGUGUUUGCUAUUUGCUGAUUUGGCUGUAUAUCGAAACUUUGGGAGUGCCUUCAAAAUUUUCCACUGGAUUCAUACUUUGAUAGGCCUGUAUAGAAAACCAAGACUAUCCAGUUCGAGCACUUGGUUUUCAGAGUCUUUCCCAUCUGUGUGAAGCCGAUGUCAUUGGUACUCUCUUAGUACUUACUUGUGUUAGUUAAUUCCUUUCUAUUUUACUCAUAUUUUAUCUAAUAAUUUUACUUUGUCUAUCCAGAUUUCUAUACUGCAUGGGGUGUCAUUAAGAAACAUGCUCAACACAUCAAACUGGAUCCUCUCCUUGCUUAUAGGUUAGCAGAGCUAACAUCCCAAAUCAUAUUUAUAGGCACAGUUGAGGUGUCUAAAGUGGUGCAUGGAUCUUUUAGCAUUACUAUUUAUUUGAGGGGCCUGAAAGUAUAUUUGAUGUAUAACUAGCAUUAUUUUGGUGAAUAUGUUGCAGUGUAUGCCUUCUUUUAAAGUGGGGUGCAAUGGAUGCCGAAGCAUAUCCUGAAGAUGCAGAAAACGUUUUGAACAUUUUGUGGGAAAUUGGGAGCUCUAUGCAGAUGCCUCAUGAUUCCCAAUGGACAAAGGCAAGAGUCUCUGCCAUAGUGGCCCUGGGUCAAUAUGAGGUAAGUAUUGGAUUUCAGUCUCUUGUAUGUCCUCUUUUAGGUGUGUUCCAGACCGUCUUUGGUUCUAAACUAUUAAUAUCAACACUUGUAUCUAAUUAUGAUUCAUUUUUUUUCAGGUAUCAUUUAUGGAGAAAAAGUUUUCUGAUUUCAACAAGAAUUGUACAUAUUUGCUCUUCUCGGAGAUAAAUGCGGAAAUUUUGAAUGCUUUAGAAGACCUUUCAAUCAAGAUCAUGAUUCACGAGCACAGGUAUAGAGCUUGUAAUCUACUAAACUUUUUCUGGUUUAGAUUCUCAUCAGCAGCAUACUAAACUACUUCUCUUUCUGACCUUUCAGCGUCCGGCGUAGAUAUGUUAGAGAGAAGAAAGUUCCUGGUAGUAAGAUUGAAAAGCUGCUUGAUGUGAUACCUCAGGUCAUCUUCCCUGCAGGUGUAGUUUGACUUUCAGCUAAAAUAGUCCUUAAGUUGUUAGCAUAAUUAGUGAGAAAUGCAAGUGAGUCUGUUGGAAUAAAUAAAUAAAACCUUGUGAUGGCUAAAAAUUUUUGACUUGUGUUUUUUUUUCUUUGCCUAAGAACUAACUUAACUUGUUUAUAAUUGUCAGUUCUUGCUGUGCUUUGCAACUUGUGAUUCUUAUAAGACAAUGUCAAAGUAUUCAGUUGCAUUAUGAAUUACUCAGUUCUAUUCGUUUUGUCAUUACGGAUAGACCUUUUCGCUAAAGAUUCCAAAUAAUCAGUUAUGUAAAAUUCUUUGUACUCCAUAGAAACUAAGUGCAGCAUCAUUUGACUCACAGGGAAAGAAAUAAAGACUGGAGAACUACCUGGUGCGGCAUUACUAUGUCUAUCUUAUAACCCCAGAGAUGUGAAGUUUGGGUCAUCAAGAGUAAGUAUUGUAAUUUUAACUUUCUGCUAGGAGAUUUUGUAUACUUCUGUAUACUGACUUUCAUACUCUUAAUCGCAGAGCUUUCGUGAUGGUCAUGGUCAAUACGAGGAGGCAUUUAGAGUAGUAGUCAAAUCUCUCCAGCUCUCAAGAAAUAUUUCCCUUGCUCUUAUUUCCUUGCAAUCACUGAAAGCAUUUAUGCGGCGUUGGAUGAGAGCUAAUAUCUUGUCCAUUGAUGCAACGACUAAAGAAUUAUCAUCGGAUAAAAUUUCUAAAGCUGCAAACAACAUCAUGAAGGUUUGAGAUAGUGUCUUUCUGUUGCAGCUUAAUUCGAACUUUUCAUUUUAAGUGUUCAAACCUUAGUUGAGAUUCUGUUGUGUUAUUCAUGUAGAGUCUGGUACAUAUGGCUGAAGAAGCUCUUCCCAGGUGUGCAGAAAACAUAGCACUGGCACUGGGUGCACUAUGUGCAGUAAGAUUUCAUAGAAAUGUUCCUCCAUAUCUAUAGUGGUCAAAUGUCUCAAUAUAUAUUUUUAAUCUGUUUGUUUUUUUCAGGCUUUGCCAGCUGCUGCUCAUAAUACUAAAGCGACUGCAUCAAAAUUUCUGUUGAGUUGGUUGUUGGAGCAUGAGCAUGAACACCGUCAGUGGACGGCUGGUAUUUCUCUUGGAUUGAUUUCGUCGUCCCUACAUGUGACUGACCACAAGCAGAAAUUUCAGAAUAUAUCUGGGCUUCUUGAGGUACUUCCUGUACCUAUGAGUUAAUUGCGGAAUUAUUACAGUGCUAACUUUUUUAUGAAAACGCAUACUUUGUAAUAAAUUUGAAAAGUAAGCAUGCAGAUAAAAAAAAGUAUAUAUCAUGUCUUUCAGGUUUUGUGUAGCAGUAAAAGCACUCUUGUAAAAGGAGCCUGUGGGGUUGGAUUGGGUUUUUCAUGCCAAGAUCUGCUCACUCGGACUGAAGCCUCUGCGAGCUCUGAUAUAGACAGUGACUCCUACAGGAACCAAGAAGAACGGCUCUUAGGAAGGAUAGUGAGGUUACUAUCUUCAAUAUUACAUCGUUUCCUGCACACUCCGUGUGAUAUCCUAGAAAGCUUGUCUGCAUUGUUCCCACCUGGAAAGGAAGACAACGUUAUAGGUUUACCUCAGCUGUUGGAUGAUAGUUCUGAUGAUUUUGAUGAUGAUACAUGGGGUAUUGCUGGACUCAUUAUAGGUUUGGGGAUGUCAGUUGGUGCAAUAUACAGAGCUGGGAAGAAAGACGCUGUUGUAAAGAUUAAAAACCUGAUUGUAUCGUGGAUCCCAUAUGCAGAUUCUCUUAAGCAAACUCCGGGUUCUAAUAGUAAGGUAUCAGUGAGACUGUUUUCAGUUGGUUCCUGCCUUGCACUCCCAAUUGUGAUCACUUUCUGCCAAAAAGUUGAACUGUUUGAUGCACAUGAGGUGGAUCAUCUAAUCGGUUGUUUCAAGGACCUUAUUUCCGAGUUGCUGAUUGUUAGAAAGUCUGGUGCUUUACGUAAGAGGUUGUUGAUGGCUUCCUGUAUUGGGGCGGGAGACCUCCUUGGUUCUGUUCUGAAUGAAGGUAUCCACCCUGUUAAGAUUGAGUCUGUAAAAGGGUUACUAGAACUAUUCAAGACAUGUUACUCUGGACUUUACCCACCGGUUGCUCACUUUGGAGGCAUGCUCGGAGUUGUUAAUGUUUUAGGAGCAGGUGCUGGGAAUUUGGUGUAUUUCCAUCCUUUACCCCGUGCUCCUCCAGCCAGUUCUGAGGAAAACGUAAGUUCUCUGCUCUAUAUUUCUCAAGAUCAUUGCUGAAUUAUUCCCAUUUAGAUAAAUGUGUAUGGGUCCCUAACAUUCAUUUAUUUCGCUUCAGGAAAUAUCUUAUGUGUCAGGUCCUUUGCUUUCAAACCCAUAUUUUACUCAGCAGUUGACGCCAGUUGUGCAAGAAAUAUUUCUUAUCGCACAAAAUACCAAGGAUCGCCAGCUCCAACAUUAUGCUGCAUGGGCAAUAUCAAUUCUUAGAAAUUACAUGCGGUCCGGGGAAGCGUCAAGUCUCAGCAAUGAAAACCAAUCUGAUGACUCUCACCGUAAUUCCAUCUCUCACAAUGUUCCUGAACAUACCAUGGUCAUGAAACUUGCUCAAGGCCUGACAAAUCCAAGUUUUCCUUUGGUAUGUCUUCUUAAAGUCUUUCUUAUAGUUCUAAGCCUUUUCUAAUCUUUCAAGGUUGGAACAAAAGAAAACUUGAAAUUGUUCAAUUUUUCUAUUCCAUUAUAUUGUUGCUACAGUAAAGUAGAAGGUGAUUUAGUUUGAAAAUAGAUCACAAUCUGUUCUCAUACUUAUUAAUCUUUGUUGAAUUUUAGGCGGGUAGCCCUCUGAAUAUUGGCACAAUGGAAAGUGCUUUGCGGUGUUUGUCUCAUGCUCCGAGAUUGCCAAACUUGGACUGGGGAGCAACAAUAAGACGAUUAAUGAAACAAGAGACCCAGACCGAUGUAUCGCAAUCAGGCGAUGUUCCCAAGGAAAGAACUCUUAGGGAAGAGUGCUUCAAAUUUUCAUUAGCCCACGCAAGCGAAUUUGAUGAACUUCUAGCUUUUCUGGACGAGUUGUCUGAACUAGCCAGAUUCAAGGCGCUAGAGCAGAGUCUCCAGUCAUGCCUGCUUUGUCAUCUAGGGGAUUUAAUGAGAAUAUUCUCAGGUUCAAGAAUGAAUAAAUUAUUUGACGAUGUCUCUUGCUUUGUAAUCUCACUAUCAUCAGACCAAGUAUAUAGCUGUGAACAGAAGAGCUCAUUGAGGGUCUCUUUUUGGAAGGGUCUGAGUCAGUGUCUUGAAGAAACUUCGCUUGAAUCUUCAGAAUACAUCACAAAGAUUGAAAAAUGUAUAGAGUUGCUUUUUGCUGUCUUACCAGUAGCAUCACAAUCUCCUGGAGCAGAUCAGAUGGGUUCGGUGCACGAGUGGUCAGAGGCAGUUAGAUGUUUGCAGAAGUCGCCCCGGGAUUGGUUAUACAAAUUUCUUCAGGUAUGUAGCAUCCACUUCCUGCAUCUCUUGUUUACCAGUUUGUAAGGUAUGUAUCAUCUUUGUGGAUAUCUCGCCAUUUAACUGAGAUUUUUCUCAUAUGCAGGUUUCAAAUCUUGAACCUCGAAACAGAGAGACGGACUUCAAAGGUGAUCUAAAGAAGAUCCAGGCAAAAGCCAAGCUAGCAAGACUUGGCUCAAUUCCAUUUUCCGAGUUAGGAAAAUUAAAGGCUAUUAUAUUAAAUUGUGAACAGUCAGGUCAGUUACUAUCCUCUGUUUUUAUUAAGCUAGUACAAUCAAAGAUCAUGAUACAAUUAAAGUUCUCGUCUUUGUUAGAUAUCUGGGACGUGUUGAUUGAGAUAGUAGCGGCUUUGCAUCACGCCGAAGGAGGAAUCAAAAGACAGUGGCUCAUUGAUGCAGUUGAAAUCAGCUGCAUUUCUAGCCAUCCUUCCACUGUAAGCCUCAAUGUCAAUAUCUUAUCCAUCAAAAGAGAUUAUUCUUUUUUGUGUUGAAAUCGGUUAUUCUCCUUCUACAGGCCAUUAUCUUCGUCGGCCUUCUUUCUAGUAUCUGCUGCGAAUACAUGCCCUUUCUCACUUUAGACCGAUCCACGGUGCUGUGCGAUAUGUCUGUUACCGUAACUUCUCUCCUGUCUGAUCCCAUCUAUGAAGUGGUCACAGAGCCUGUCAUCUCGUUUCUAUGGACUUCAUUGGAACGUAUUUACAGUUUUGCAACUGAAUCUGACGCUAAUGCAAGGAUAAGCUCACAGCAAAUUGCGCAGAGCGAGAGAGAUAGAGCAUCAAUGCUUAUGAAAGUGAUGCAUUACAUUUGUGUAGCCUUCAGAGAUCAUUUGCCUCUUGAGAAACAGCUUAGACUUGCUUCUAUGGACAUCCCUUGAUUCCUUUUAAACUAUUGUAUAAUUUUUAUAUUUAGGUGACUAUAAUUUCAGAAUAUUUUGUUGUAUUUUUAGUGGGAUUUUCAUUUCCCACAUUGUUGUAUUUUUGAAAGAUAUAUAGUAAGAGUGAAUAUUUAUGGUUUAAUACAAAUUUCAUGUAACGAUAAUGAGCUGCUUUUUUUUAUUCUUAUGGUCAACAUAACGAAUAAGAUCUUAAUAUUUUCCGUAUUUAUAAUACUAACAUUUAAUUUUUGUUAAUGCUACUAAGCAAAUAAUUUUCGCUGCUUAUUUUCAAACAAAUUAUGAUCAUUUAAAAAAAAAAAUAUGGAAUAAUAAAUCUUUUUCAUCAUCGCAAUCACAAGCAUAGCCAAUAAUAACCAAUAAGAAUCAUAAGAUAGUGUUGGAUUAAAAACACUAUCCUCUUGCUCGCUGACAUGUCCAUCUUCCACAACGACAAGAUCUUCCAUUGACACGUGGCAUAGCCACAACCUCUAUGUAUCUCAUGAACGUGAAUCUAGUUUGUGAAAAUCUAAAAUUUACCAAUCAAGACUCGCUGACGUGUCCAUCAGCUAAUCUUCCCACAAAACGAACACUCUACUAUAAAUUACGAACAUCUCAUAUCAUCUAAACACACUAAUCUCUUAUUUCUUUGUGUUUUUGUUUGGAGUUUAAAAAAAAAAAGAAUGGCAACUUCAGCAAUCCAACACUCCUCUUUCGCCGGCCAAACGGCCCUGAAGCCAUCCAACGAUCUCAUUCGUAAGGUCGGAGCCUCCAACGGUGGAGGCCGUGUCGUCAUGCGACGUACCGUCAAGUCUACUCCUCAGAGCAUCUGGUUCCAACGCCUAUCUCUCUCUGUUUUCCCUUAAUAUUUAUUCUUCUGAAAAUUGAGAUUUUCCAUUUAAAUUUUAAAAAGUAAAAAUAGUACAAAUGCCUCUGGUUCAAAUUCGGAUUUUGGUUCGGUUUCAAAAUGGUUUUUGGUUUUAUAAAAUAUUAACCAAUGAAAACCUUGUUAAUCAAGAAGACAUUUAACACUAACUAAGUCAUAGUUAAGGGUUAAAUGUAGGUUACUUGGGUUACUCGGGUUACAGGUUACUUGGGUUACUCGGGUUACAGGUUACUUGGGUUACUCGGAUUACAAGUCUGAAUGAGGGUGCUAUUGGUCUUUGUGCACAACCCAUAAACCCUAGAGAGUGUGUUCUCAUAUAAAAGCACUUGUGUGCCUCCACUUUGUAAUACAACGUUUAUCUUUUAAUAACAACACUUUUCCUCUCUACUCUUAGUCAUGUUUCUCUCUAUUCUUCCCACUUGAUUCUUAAAUUAUUUAUAUGGUAUCAGAGCAAUCUUACGAUUCUUAACACUUUUCCUCUCUUUAAUCUUGCGUUACGGUUCGAUUUCUCACUAAAAGGUUGAAUCUUGGUUGUACGGAAGCGAGCUGUUCUUCGUUUCUGGGUUUUGUUUGAAGUUUUCUUGAGUUGAAGCUUUCUGAAUCUUUGGUAAAGCGUUUCUAGUGAAGAGUUUUGGGAGUUUUUCUUUGAAGUUACUCAAAGGUCUCUAAGCGAAUCAAAACGGUCUCGUGGCUAAAGGUCGAAGCUUUCUCUCGGGAUGGCACUGGUGGUUCAAGACGCAAGCAAAGCCUACAAGGAGCUGAAGUUCUCGGUUGGUUUGAAUGGAAACAACUAUCUCUUAUGGAGAAGAAUGACUACAAAUGUUUUGGGUGGAAGAAAGCUCACGAAGCAUAUUGAGUCGACUUAUGAAGAGAUGAAGGAGAAAGACGGAAGCUUGGAUAAGGAUGCUUGGGUACAAGAAGACUUGAACGUGUUGAGUGCGUUACAUGGCUCUCCUGAAGCUUCAAUCUUGGAAGGUUACUCAUAUUGCGAGACAACCAAAGAGCUUUGGGAUACGCUUGCUAGUGUCUUUGUCAACGAAUCGAAUCUCACUCGUGUGUAUGAGAUUAAGCGAGCUCUUGGAAAUCUAAGUCAAGAAGAGAGUGACUUCAACACUCAUUUCGGAAAGUACAGGUCUCUAGUUGCUGAACUAGAGAUGCUUAGGCCAUUCACUACUGAAGCACAAACACUCAAGGAUCGCCGAGAGCAAGACCGGGUGUUUGGGUUGUUAAUGACGCUUAAUCCGAACUAUAAAGAGGUGAUACAACACAUUCUGAGGGAUGACAAGGUCCCCACCUUGGAACAAGUUUGUGCCAAGAUACAAAAAGAGUUCGGGUCACAAGGGCUAUUCGGCACUAAAGGCGAGAACCUCCCAACGGCAAACAAGGCAUUGUUUGUGAAACAUGAAGACAAGAAGACUUUGGUGUGUGACCAUUGCAAUAGGAAUGGCCAUAACAAAGACAAAUGUUGGAUUUUACACCCUCAUUUGAAGCCGGAGAAGUUCAAGAAGCUCAAAUCAAAGGCAAAUGUGGCAAAUGCAAGCGACGGUGGACAAGAGAAUGAAGAAAGGGCGAUUGUGCAAUACGGUCAAGAGAAGGCGAUGCAAGCCAUGAUUCAAGAUAAGGGCUGUGGAUUAUCUUCUCAAAGUCAAGAAACCAUUGUGAGGAACAAGGCGAACCUCGAAGCUCUCAUUCACUCUAUUGCAUCUAAAUUCAGUCCCGGCGGUACCUCUCUCUUUACUUCUAAUUCUUAUGAUUCAAAGUCAUUAGUAUUAGACUCAGGAGCUUCUCACCAUAUGAUAAGUAACCCUAAGUUGUUAGAGAACAUUAAACCGGCGUUAGGGAGUGUUAAAGUUGCGAAUGGUCAUAAUGUGCCGAUUGAAGGAAUAGGUAGUAUAAACCUAUUUAGUAAACGGUCUAGUGCCUUUUAUAUGCCUAAGUUUACUUCGAAUUUGCUCUCGGUUAAGAAGACUACUAGAGAUUUAAAUUGCCUUGCUACUUUCAGUCCUAAUGAUGUGAAAUUGCAGGAUAUUAAGAGUGGUAAUGUGUUCGGACAUAUUAACUUCAUGUUGUCUCAUAAACCGAAUACCAACCCGUAUCCUUAAUGAUCAAUCUCCUUUUCAAGUUUUGAAUAACCAAAGUCCUAACAUUGAUCAUUUAAAAGUAUUUGGAAGUCUUUGUUUUGUAUUUGUCCCAGGUGACCUGAGAAACAAGCUAGAGCCCAAGAGUACGAAAUGUGUAUUUAUAGGAUACUCAACGACUCAGAGAGGUUACAAGUGCUUCGAUCCGGUCAACAAUAGGUAUCAUGUAUCUAGGGAUGUCAAAUUCAUGGAAGACAAGGCCUAUUUUGGAGAAAAGAGUUGGGAAAGUGUGAAAGAUUUGCCUAAUUCAACUUUAGAUCGAGCUAAGAGUCUUCAACAUAUUCUAGAACAUUUGGGUAAUGUUAGUCCGUCACAAGAACGUGUGGAAGCUACACCAAAUGCGGAUACCAAUGAAGCUCAAGAGAGUGAUGAAAAUACACCACAAGAGCCUUUGGAUAUCCAACAAGAGAGUGGUAGAGAAGAAGGUUCAAGUGAAGAAGUGGUAGAGAAAGAUCCGUCUAGUGAAGGUGAAAUUAUUGAAUCAUCAAGCGAAGAUGAGACUUAUCAAGCUCCAAAAGUCACACAAGAUCCGGUCUACACACGGGAAAAUCCAAGGAAGAGUACAAGAGAGAAGAAAUCUCCUUCUGAAUGGAAGAAAGCUAGAAUCCCCUACUACAAUGCUCAAGCCGUGGCUCAUCCAAUACAAGAAACGUGUUCGAUUGACCUUCUUCCUGAAGAACAUAGAGCUUUUAUCAGUAAGCUAGAUGUGGAAUUCAUACCACAAAGCUAUGAAGAAGCCAAGGAAAGAAAGGAAUGGACUAAUGCUGUGGAUGAUGAGGUUCAUGCUAUGGUUAGGAAUCAUACUUGGGAUGAAGAAGAGCUUCCACCAGGGAAGAAGUGUGUGAGUUCAAAAUGGGUUUUCACCAUAAAGUAUAAGAGUGAUGGUGAAAUUGAGAGAUAUAAGGCUAGGCUAGUGGCAAGAGGGUUUACUCAGACAUAUGGUGAAGACUAUAGAGAAACUUUUGCGCCAAUAGCUAAGCAACACACAGUCAAGGUUGUUCUUUCUCUAGCGGUGAAUAUGGAUUGGGAAUUGUGGCAGAUGGAUGUCAAGAACGCUUUUCUUCAGGGGGAGUUAGAAGAAGAAGUGUAUAUGACACCACCUCCGGGUUUAGAGGAUACAGUGGCUCCAGGGAAGGUGUUAAGACUUCGAAAAGCUAUCUAUGGCCUCAAACAAUCCCCAAGAGCUUGGUAUCACAAGUUGAGUUCAACCUUGCUUAGAGAAGGCUUCAAAAGGUCACAUUCUGAUCACACUUUGUUCACUAAACAGGAUAAUCAAGGAAUUGUAGUAGUUUUGAUCUAUGUUGAUGACUUGAUUAUCUCUGGAAGUAACAAAGCAGGUAUCCAAGCUACCAAGUCUUCUUUACACUCUGCUUUUGAUAUUAAAGAUUUGGGUGUUUUGAAGUAUUUCUUAGGGAUUGAGGUGUGUAGAUCCAAGGAGGGACUGUUUCUCUCACAAAGGAAAUACGCUCUUGAUCUUCUAAAACUUACAGGAAAGCUUGGAGCUAAACCAGUAGAUACACCACUCGAGCAAGGGUACAAGGUCAAUCGAAAGGGGGAGAAAGAUGACACUCCUUAUCAUUGCCCCGAACAAUACCGAAGACUCGUGGGUAAGCUUAUCUACUUGAUAUAUACUCGACCUGAUUUAUCUUUUGUUGUGAAUCAGGUAGCUCAACACAUGCAAGCUCCCACUGUUUAUCAUUGGAGUUUGGUGGAGAGAAUUUUGAGAUAUAUCAAAGGAAGUCCCGGCAAAGGCAUAUGGAUGGGAAGAAACUCUAGCACAGAGAUUGUUGGAUAUUGCGAUGCAGAUUACAAUGGGGAUCGCAACACAAGACAAUCAACAACUGGUUUUUGUACAUUCAUUGGUGGGAAUAUUGUGACUUGGAAGUCGAAGAAGCAGAAAGUCGUCUCUUGUUCGAGUGCUGAAGCAGAGUAUAGAGCUAUGAAGAAACUCACAAACGAGUUAACAUGGCUAAAGGCUUUGUUAAAGGACUUUGGGAUCGAGCAGAAGACUCCAAUCACUUUUCAUAGUGACAAUCAAGCGGCCAUCCACAUUGCUACCAAUCCCGUGUUCCACGAGAGGACCAAGCACAUAGAGACGGAUUGCCACAAGACAAGAGAGAAGAUAGAAGAUGGUACGAUUCUCCCUUGUUACACUAAGAGUUCGGACCAAUUGGCCGAUAUCUUUACCAAGGCAGCAAGUAACCAAGUUUGCCAAUUUAUUCAUGGUAAACUUGGUCUUGUAGACCUGACACAUCCUUGAAAAAUAUUCUCCAACUUGUAGGGAUAAUACUCUUUUUCCCUAAGCUUGGUUUUGUCCCACGUGGUUUUCCAAACUUAGGUUUUUAAUGAGGUUAUUCAUACAAGUGCCAAGUUUAUACACAAUUGGGCAUUGUGGUAUAAACUUGAGGGGGAGUGUUAAUCAAGAAGACAUUUAACACUAACUAAGUCAUAGUUAAGGGUUAAAUGUAGGUUACUUGGGUUACUCGGGUUACAGGUUACUUGGGUUACUCGGGUUACAGGUUACUUGGGUUACUCGGGUUACAAGUCUGAAUGAGGGUGCUAUUGGUCUUUGUGCACAACCCAUAAACCCUAGAGAAUGUGUUCUCAUAUAAAAGCACUUGUGUGCCUCCACUUUGUAAUACAACGUUUAUCUUUUAAUAACAACACUUUUCCUCUCUACUCUUAGUCAUGUUUCUCUCUAUUCUUCCCACUUGAUUCUUAAAUUAUUUAUAAACCUAAUCUACUAUCGAGCGAUUUCGGUUCAAGAUUAAUUUCUCAUCAAAUACGUUAACGACCCAUCAGUUUUUUGUUUCCUCAUAUUUAGUAUAGCUAAUCAGCAAACCAUCUAAUUCAGUAUCAAACAAAAAAAACUUGUGACAGGUACGGACCAGACCGUCCCAAAUACCUAGGACCAUUCUCGGAAAACACACCAUCAUACCUAACCGGAGAAUACCCUGGAGACUACGGCUGGGACACCGCCGGUCUGUCAGCCGAUCCAGAAACAUUCGCAAAGAACCGUGAGCUUGAAGUAAUCCACAGUAGAUGGGCAAUGUUGGGUGCAUUAGGCUGCACAUUCCCAGAAAUUCUCUCCAAAAACGGAGUCAAAUUUGGUGAAGCCGUGUGGUUCAAGGCAGGAUCACAGAUCUUCUCAGAAGGAGGACUUGAUUACCUCGGAAACCCUAACUUGAUCCACGCGCAAAGCAUAUUAGCUAUAUGGGCUUGUCAAGUUGUGCUAAUGGGAUUCAUUGAAGGUUACAGAAUCGGAGGUGGGCCUCUUGGUGAAGGACUUGACCCACUUUACCCUGGCGGAGCGUUUGACCCGUUGAACUUAGCGGAGGAUCCAGAGGCGUUCUCGGAAUUGAAGGUGAAGGAGCUCAAAAACGGUCGUCUUGCGAUGUUCCCAAUGUUUGGAUUCUUUGUUCAAGCCAUUGUUACCGGUAAAGGUCCGAUAGAGAAUCUGUUCGAUCACAUUGCAGACCCUGUGGCUAACAACGCUUGGGCUUACGCCACCAACUUUGUCCCCGGAAAAUAGAGUUUGAUCGGAUAAUUUAUGUAAAUUAUAUCUUUUAAGAAUUUGUCAAUGCACUAUAUUCUUUCUUUGGUCAGAAAUUCUCGUUAGCUAUAGCAACUUAGCACAAACACGAAAAGUAUACGUUUAAAAGGCUAAAACAUGGACGAAAAUAAAAAAAUGCCAGCACAAUCGAAGAAUAAGACACUGAACUAAAUUAUCAUGGAUAAUCAUGGAUUCAAUGGGCCAGGCUAAUGAUAAAAAAAAACAGAGAGAAACGUAUUAAGUUUUGAAAAUUUGAGGCUAUAUCCACUUUCCAUGGCUUAAAAAGCAUAACUUUUUGGGGGCGGUGAAUGUGAAGUGACUCAUCUACGAGAAGGAUAAAUCCAAAUAUUUCAAAAAUCUUAACCAAACCCGUAAAAUUGUGCUCUUUGUAGUUUGUCAUCUAUCAAAAACUACUAUCUCUAUACUAUUAAAAGAGAAGUACAAAUGAAAAUGGGUCGGGUUAAAAUCAGAAAAUUGACCCGAAAUUCUGAAAUCGGAUCUUUGAAAUUUUUUUGGAAUAUAAAUUCAAAUUAAUAAUGAAAAAUCGAAUUAAAAUCAAAUAUUUAUGGAAAUCAAAUAAAAUCUGAUUGUACUUAUGAUAACUAAUAAUAAAAGCAUAUUCCGAACAAUAUUAUACAUUAAUCACGUAUAAUAAAUUUGUUCAUAUAUUUUUGGGACUAAUUCCAUAACAAUCAAUGUUUUUGUCAUUAAUUUCGCUCAUUUUAGCCAAUUAUCAUUAAUUGAAAGAUAUUUUACUUGCUUCUAAAGAUUUCUAGAAAAUUUAUCACAAAUAACCCAUCUGUUUUAUAAAUUAAAUUGAUAUUUUUAUUUUGGUCGUGUAAAUUAAAUAGAUAUUUUUAUUUUGGUCGUGUAAAUUAAAUAGAUAUGAAAUCCAUGUAACUAAUUUUAAUUUAAUUAGAUUAAAUCAAAAUUAUGAUAUUUUCAUACCUAUAACUUACCAAAGAAGUUUAAUUUUCAAUUUAUAAAGAUUUCUUGAAUAUGAUUUUAGAAUUAUUCAACAAGAUGAUAAGUAUUUAUUAAAUUUUGUGAAUCAUGAAAAAUAAUAAUUAAUUUUCAAUCAUUAUACUUCAUCUUUCAAUCUAUCAUCUAACAAAUAAGAUACAUAUUCUAUUAUUUCUAUGUCCAAACUUCAUUUUGUUGUAUGACUAAAUAAUAUUCCAAUUAGAACUGUCAAAGCGAGUUGAUUCGUCCCGUUAAAUCCGUUUUGCGAUAGACAAAAAAUAUUUUGACUUGUAGUUAGUCGGUCCACACGACCCGCAGGUAGCAUAUAUGAAAUACAAACCCGUCCCGCGAAUGUAUGCGGAUUUGCGGGAUUGUCCAUGGAUUUUGUUUAAAUAAUUUUAAAGUAACCAAAAUUUAAAAUACUACUAAAAUAAAUAAAUAAAUAAAAAUACUAUUAAAAGUUUGUUUAAAUUACCACAUGUUGAAUAAAUUACAAUUUUAUCAAUAAAUACUAAUAUGCGGGCUGAUCCGCCAACCUGCGGAUGAAAACCGAUUAAACCUAUGACCCACUGCGAAUUAAUCCAUGUGGCCCACUUAUUUGCGGGUUUAAUAUAUUUUCCCAAAUCUGCCCCAUAGUGAGAUGAUGUGGGCUCGACCCGCGGUUUUUGACCUAUUUUGACUGCUUUAAUUCCCAUGAAUCGUCUAAUUUUAGAAUUUUAAAACACAAAAUUCUAUUUUUUAAAUCAUAAUUAAUACGAUGAGUAUAUUUAUAAACAAUUUUACAUUUUCUCUACAAUUCGUUAUUAUGAAUAUUUAUAAUUAUACUACACGAUUCGUUCUACUAAAAAACACACACAAUAUUAAACGCAACGUUUGUAAACCAAUAUUCUCUCGCGGUGAACCGCGGGUCCGAUCCUAGUCCAGUAACAUAUGACAAUUGUUUGUGUAUAUAUGUUCAUCAUAUAUGACUAUAGUUCGUGCUGAAAUAUACUUUUAUAUUUUUGAAACAAUAUAUUUUCUAGACUCCUCUUCUUUUUUUCACAUUUUUCACAUAAUACUAGGUAAGAACCCGUACCAUGCAAGGAUAAGUUUUAUGAUAUAACGAUUUAAAAAAAAAAUCAAAGUUUUAUAUGAAUCUCGAGAUGUCAAAACUAAAUUUUCUAAAUGCGCUAAAAUAUUUUGAAUUAAAAUAAUAUUGUAUAAAUACCAUGUAAUAACACGACUUUUUAAUCUAUAAAUAAAUUUACAAGUUAAAUAUCAAAUAUUUUAUUGAUUUAUAUUAAUAAAAGAAAAUUGUAUUUACAUCAUUCAUAAAUUUUGACUUAUAGAUUUGAUUUAAAUUUAAAUGUUUAUAAUAUAUGAAAGAAUUUUUCGGUGUUAAAAUGCAUAUACUAUAUGUUUGUAUUGUUUAGUUUUUUCAAUUAAAAAAAAAGAACACAAUGCAUUUAAUAAAAAAAAUUUAUAUAGAAUUUUUCUUACAAGUAAAGAUAUCUUAUAAUAAUCAUAUUAUGUAUACAUAAAUCUAUGAGAACUGAAUUUUGAAGAAAAAAGGAUAAAAUCAAGUAGCAUUUGAUAAAUAUUAUAUAUAUAUAUAUAUAUAUAUAUAUAUAUAUAUAUAUAUAUUAUUACUUAACGAAUAUUUUCUGAUACUUUUUGAUGAUGUUGUGUUUACCCAUAUAUAAUUUUUACUUUUCAAUAAUAAUAUAACUUUUUUUGUUCUCCGAUAGCUUGUUAACAUUUUUAAUUUAUCCAAUCAUAUACUUUAUGCAUAUCAACCGAUUUUCUUAUUCCACCUUCUUUCUUUAAAUAGAUUCCAUCUUCUCUGGCUCUCCAAUCCCAAUCGGCUCCAUUAUCAUAACCAGUAUAUUGCUUAAAUGCUGUAAAAUUUUGAUAGUGUUUAUAAUUAGGUCCUUGUUUCAAUGUACACAUGAAACGAGUCGUACCCCAAAUGUUAGCACGAAAAGAAUUUUCAUAUUGCUGUCCGAUUGAUAGUACUUUUGGACCUAUUACGUCAUCUUUGGAAUAACACCUCAUCCAGAGGAGUUUCUUGAAUUGGAGUUCGUUCGUGAUUGUGAUUCCAGUGCCGGAUACAUGGCCAAGAAUGUAAAUGCUAAAAACAAAUAGAAAUACUGAAAGGUUUUUCAUUAUUUUAUUUUUAUUGUUCUGGUUAGAUGUUUAGAUGUUUUGUUUUAUUAACUUGGUUUUUGUGUUUCUGGUACUAUAUAUACACACACAUAUGUAUUACUAUUGUUGGCACAAGAUAUCCUUCUGUAUUUGUUCCAAGUUAUAACAGAUAUCAUAUGAUAUCUUACAUGUGAAGAGGCCGAAGUAUACAUAAAUCUAUCGGAAUUGAAUUUUGAAGAUAAAAGGAUAAACCAAGUUAACAUUUAUGGAAAUCAAUUAUAACCAUCAAGAAAAAAAAUUAAAAUAUAAAAAAUACAAUUUCUUAUUGAUAAAUAUAUUUGUUUAUAUAUUUUUUUAUUACUAUAGACAGUCAGAAAUCCCAACUGAUAUUAUGAAUUCAAAUAAAUUUAUUAUCUAAAUUAUAACACAUUUACUCAAUUUUAAAUUUUGAUUCCAAAGAUAUAAACAAUCAAAACUUAUGAAGUGUCAACACUCCCAAAGAAAACAAAGCCAUCAUUAUGGGAGCUGCCGUAGUUAAGUUUAUCAUAUUCGUGAGUUAAAUCAUAGAAAUCGCAAGCAUAGCCAAUAGGCAAUAACUAACAAGCGAGAUAGCAUGAGAGAACACUAUCCUCUUGGGUUUUAUGUGUUUGGCUCACCCCACAAGAUCUUCCCUCCCACAUGGCAAAACCAUAGCCUCUAUAUAUCUCUUCCACGUAAAUUAAGUUUGUGGAAAUCUAAAAUCAACCAAUAAGAACUCGCUGACGUGUCCCUUUGACAAUCUUCGCCAAAAAUGAACAUUCUACUAUAAAAACGAAGUUCCAAAUCACUAACAUAACACAACAACAACAUCUCAUCUCACUUAUUACUUCUUUUCUUUGUGUUCUUGUUUAGAAGAAGCAAUGGCCACUUCAGCAAUCCAAUACUCUUCUUUCACCGGCCAAACAGCCCUAAAGCCAUCCAACGAUCUCCUCCGCAAGGUCGGAGCCUCCAAUGGUGGCGGCCGCGUCAUCAUGCGUCGUACCGUCAAGUCUACUCCUCAGAGCAUCUGGUUCCAACCCAAAUCUCUCUCUCUCUCUCACUUAUCUUUGUUAUUCUUGAAAGAGAUUUUCCAUUUAAAUACAAAUGCCUGCAAUUCAUUGUGGGUUUCAUUUUGAGUUUUUUUUUGCUUUAGAAGUAUUUUAAACAAUGAAAACUGAAUCUACUAUAGAUUGGUUUGGGUUCAAGAUUUCACUUUCCAUUUUUAAAAAAGUUGAAAAUACUUUGAAAUAUGUCUUUCUUUAUUCGAAUUCGGUUUCGGCUUUUUGGAUCCAUUUUAAUCAUAUUAUACUCAUUUCAAUUUUUCUAUUGGUACUUUUGGUUUGGUUUUGGAUCGAAUUAGACUGGUUUAUCUGGACUAAACAAUCCGUCAGUUUUUGUUUCCUCAUUUUUAGUAUAGCUAAUUAGCAAACCAUCUAAUUAGUAUCCAACAAAAAAACUUGUGACAGGUACGGACCAGACCGUCCCAAAUACCUAGGACCAUUCUCGGAAAACACACCAUCAUACCUAACCGGAGAAUACCCUGGAGACUACGGCUGGGACACGGCCGGUCUCUCAGCCGAUCCAGAAACAUUCGCUAAGAACCGUGAGCUCGAGGUCAUCCAC
rnacentral:lncRNA from 1 species